rnacentral:rRNA from 1 species
UAAAGCUUCAAACUGGGAUUAGAUACCCCACUAUUCUUGGAUAUAAAAAAAUAUACAUUUACCAGAGUACUAUGGAUUGUUUACAUUUAAAACUCAAAGGGCUUGGCGGUGUUUUAGACUUUUUAGGGGAACCUGUCUCAUAAUCGACAAUCCACGAAAAACCUGACCUUUAUUUGCUUUCAGUUUGUAUACCGUCGUCGUCAGGUAACUUUUUAGAAAGAAGAAGUUAGCAACCGAGCUGUUUAUGUGCUUUUACGUCAGAUCAAGGUGCAGCUGAUAUAAGGGGGAGGAUGGGUUACAAUUAUAAAAAUUAUAACUACGAAAUAACAACCUUAAACAAUUGUUAUGAAGGAGGACUUAAAAGUAAAAUGAAAUAGAUAAGCAUAUUGAAUUAAGCUCUGAAACGUGCACACACCGCCCGUCACCCUCUGCAGUCAA